UCCUCGAUAGCUCAGCCGGUAGAGCACCUGACUGUUAAUCAGGCUGUCGCAGGUUCGACCCCCGCUCGAGGACCCA
rnacentral:tRNA from 1 species